CUUCCGCCCUCCCCGCACAGGAGGACGGAUCGAGGUAAGCCGCGCGCUCUGCCCUGACCGCGCAGGCACCUCUCCCCGGCCGACGGGAACCGCACACCCUUCGGCCGUAAGUACUCCGGGCUACGGUGCCGGACCGGGUUGAGGGUCCCGUCCCGGCAC
rnacentral:ncRNA from 1 species